CUAUGGAAGCUUAAAUUAUCUCUUGGGGUUAUCAUCUUCCUUUGGUUCUUAAACCGGGGAGUAGUCUUGACUAGAGACAACCUUGCUCAUCGAAAUUGGAAGGGGAGUAUGUGUUGUGUCUUUUACUAGCAUGAUGUGUCAAUUAAACACCUAUUUCUUGAGUGUGAGUGUGUGUGUGUGGAUAAUAUAUCCAGCAUUAGCUAUUUGUCGGUUGCAUUGAGCAAUAAAUAUUUUUAA
rnacentral:rRNA from 1 species